AAACCAACUGGGAUUACCUUAGUAACGGCGAGUGAAGCGGUAAAAGCUCAAAUUUGAAAUCUGGUACUUUCAGUGCCCGAGUUGUAAUUUGUAGAAUUUGUCUUUGAUUAGGUCCUUGUCUAUGUUCCUUGGAACAGGACGUCAUAGAGGGUGAGAAUCCCGUUUGGCGAGGAUACCUUUUCUCUGUAAGACUUUUUCGAAGAGUCGAGUUGUUUGGGAAUGCAGCUCAAAGUGGGUGGUAAAUUCCAUCUAAAGCUAAAUAUUGGCGAGAGACCGAUAGCGAACAAGUACAGUGAUGGAAAGAUGAAAAGAACUUUGAAAAGAGAGUGAAAAAGUACGUGAAAUUGUUGAAAGGGAAGGGCAUUUGAUCAGACAUGGUGUUUUUUUAAUGUGCAAGUCUCUCGUGGACAUGCGCCUCUGGAAAUUAACACUGGGCCAACAUCAGUUCUGGCGGCAGGAUAAAUCAUUAAGAAUGUAGCUACUUCGGUAGUGUUAUAGCUUUUUGGAAUACUGCCAGCUGGGAUUGAGGACUGCGCUUCGGCAAGGAUGUUGGCAUAAUGGUUAAAUGCCGC
rnacentral:rRNA from 1 species